rnacentral:rRNA from 1 species
GUCGCACCUACCGAUUGAGUGACCCGGUGAGAAUUUUGGAAUGUGGUCAUUGCUUUCAUUAGGAAUGACCGUGUGAAGCUAUUCGAACCUUGCCACUUAGAGGAAG